rnacentral:sRNA from 1 species
UUAAAGGAAGUAGUAUCCUAGUCGGAACUUCUGAUCUCGAGGGCGGGCCUAAAAAUCCGUCGAAGGGCAUAUCGAUGAAGUCUCUUGGCAGGGCCUUUGACGCCCAGUUGGGGGUUUUGCCAGGAGGUUAAGAAAGAGGGGGCAUCCUGCAACGGCAUGCAGACUUUGACCCUGCUUUCGUGGAGACUUCUGCGCUACUGGAAGGGUGUAACAAUACGGCGGUGUUCAUCGCAGCAAGCACUUCUGAGUAAGCAGAGGUAAAACCUGGAGAGAAGUCAGGGCCUGUUGUGGCCUGGGCGAUUUUGAACCAGCGUAGCCUGCCUUGAGUGGUUUGGGUAGAUGGGCUGACAGUUGUCACGUUGUCAGGGCCCGAUAAAUGGCAAUAUUGCGUCCGAAACCCUUAUUGCAAAAGAGGCUAAAGGUCAGAAGGGCCGCCGCGGAAAACGCCUAGGCUAUUUGAAAGAGAUCUGGCAGGGAUUAAAGUGCACGCUUAGUGGCAAUCCGGUCCCAACUUUUUAAGCUGGAGACCCGCAUAAUGAGAAAUCGCUCAUCCGGCGACGGAGAGCCGCGGUUCUGGGAAAUCCUACCGGACUUAUGUUGCAAAGUUUACUUGUCAGAUUUUCCUUUAAUCUUUU